UACGUAGGGUGCGAGCGUUAAUCGGAAUUACUGGGCGUAAAGCGUGCGCAGGCGGUUCGUUAAGACAGAUGUGAAAUCCCCGGGCUUAACCUGGGAACUGCAUUUGUGACUGGCGAGCUAGAGUAUGGCAGAGGGGGGUAGAAUUCCACGUGGUAGCAGUGAAAUGCGUAGAGAUGUGGAGGAAUACCGAUGGCGAAGGCAGCCCCCUGGGCCAAUACUGACGCUCAUGCACGAAAGCGUGGGGAGCAA
rnacentral:rRNA from 1 species